CCUACGGGGUGCAGCAGUGGGGAAUAUUGGGCAAUGGGCGCAAGCCUGACCCAGCAACGCCGCGUGAAGGAAGAAGGCUUUCGGGUUGUAAACUUCUUUUAUGAGGGACGAAAGAAAUGACGGUACCUCAUGCAUAAGCCACGUCUAACUACGUGCCAGCAGCCGCGGGAAUACGUAGGUGGCAAGCUGUAUCCGGAUUUACUGGGUGUAAAGGGCGUGUAGGCGGGACUGCAAGUCAGAUGUGAAAAUUAUGGGCUCAACCCAUAACCUGCAGUUGAAACUGUAGUUCUUGAGUGAGGGAGAGGCAGGCGGAAUGCCGUGUGUAGCGGUGAAAUGCGUAGAUAUACGGAGGAACACCAGUGGCGAAGGCAGCCUGCUGGACAUUAACUGACGCUGAGGCGCGAAAGCGUGGGGAGCGAACAGGAUUAGAUACCCGGGUAGUC
rnacentral:rRNA from 1 species